rnacentral:piRNA from 1 species
UGAAAUGUAAGAUUAAGGUCCACAUGUCA